UACGUAGGGCGCAAGCGUUGUCCGGAAUUAUUGGGCGUAAAGAGCUCGUAGGCGGUUUGUCGCGUCUGCUGUGAAAACCUAAGGCUCAACCUUGGGCUUGCAGUGGGUACGGGCAGACUAGAGUGCGGUAGGGGUGACUGGAAUUCCUGGUGUAGCGGUGGAAUGCGCAGAUAUCAGGAGGAACACCGAUGGCGAAGGCAGGUCACUGGGCCGCAACUGACGCUGGAGGGAGCGAAAGCAUGGGGAAGCGAACAGG
rnacentral:rRNA from 1 species